UACGUAGGGGGCAAGCGUUGUCCGGAAUCAUUGGGCGUAAAGCGCGCGUAGGCGGCCCGGUAAGUCCGCUCUGAAAGCCCAGGGCUCAACCUUGGAGUUGCCUUUGAUACUGGCUGUCUUGAGUUCGGGAGAGGUGAGUGGAAUGCCGAGUGUAGAGGUGAAAUUCGUAGAUAUUCGGCGGAACACCAGUGGCGAAGGCGACUCACUGGCCCGAUACUGACGCUGAGGCGCGAAAGCGUGGGGAGCAAACAGG
rnacentral:rRNA from 1 species